AUUGAACGCUGGCGGCAUGCCUUACACAUGCAAGUCGAACGGUAACGGGCCUUCGGGUGCCGACGAGUGGCGAACGGGUGAGUAAUACAUCGGAACGUGCCCGAUCGUGGGGGAUAACGAGGCGAAAGCUUUGCUAAUACCGCAUACGAUCUACGGACGAAAGCAGGGGACCGCAAGGCCUUGCGCGGGCGGAGCGGCCGAUGGCAGAUUAGGUAGUUGGUGGGAUAAAAGCUUACCAAGCCGACGAUCUGUAGCUGGUCUGAGAGGAUGAUCAGCCACACUGGAACUGAGACACGGCCCAGACUCCUACGGGAGGCAGCAGUGGGGAAUUUUGGACAAUGGGCGCAAGCCUGAUCCAGCCAUGCCGCGUGCAGGAUGAAGGCCUUCGGGUUGUAAACUGCUUUUGUACGGAACGAAAAGCCUUCUUUUAAUACAGGAGGGUCAUGACGGUACCGUAAGAAUAAGCACCGGCUAACUACGUG
rnacentral:rRNA from 1 species